rnacentral:rRNA from 1 species
UACAGAGGGUGCAAGCGUUGUUCGGAAUCAUUGGGCGUAAAGGGCGCGUAGGCGGUCUUGUAAGUCUGAUGUGAAAGCCCACGGCUCAACCGUGGAGGGUCAUUGGAAACUGGGGAACUUGAGUGCAGAAGAGGAAAGUGGAAUUCCAAGUGUAGCGGUGAAAUGCGUAGAGAUUUGGAGGAACACCAGUGGCGAAGGCGACUUUCUGGUCUGUAACUGACACUGAGGCGCGAAAGCGUGGGGAGCAAACAGG